rnacentral:rRNA from 1 species
CGUAGGGUGCAAGCGUUAAUCGGAAUUACUGGGCGUAAAGCGUGCGCAGGCGGUUAUGCAAGACAGAUGUGAAAUCCCCGGGCUCAACCUGGGAACUGCAUUUGUGACUGCAUAGCUGGAGUGCGGCAGAGGGGGAUGGAAUUCCGCGUGUAGCAGUGAAAUGCGUAGAUAUGCGGAGGAACACCGAUGGCGAAGGCAAUCCCCUGGGCCUGCACUGACGCUCAUGCACGAAAGCGUGGGGAGCAAACAGGAUUAGAUACCCUGGUAGUCCACGCCCUAAACGAUGUCAACUGGUUGUUGGGAAGGUUCCUUCUCAGUAACGUAGCUAACGCGUGAAGUUGACCGCCUGGGGAGUACGGCCGCAAGGUUG